rnacentral:rRNA from 1 species
GGUCAAGUUGUCAAGGGCGAACGGUGAAUGCCUUGGCACCAGGAGCCGAUGAAGGACGUGGGAGGCCGCGAUAGGCCUGGGGGAGCUGUCAACCAAGCUGUGAUCCCAGGGUGUCCGAAUGGGGAAACCCGGCACCAGUCAUGUGGUGUCACCUGCACCUGAACACAUAGGGUGUAUGGAGGGAACGCGGGGAAGUGAAACAUCUCAGUACCCGUAGGAAGAGAAAACAAAUUUAGUGAUUCCGUGAGUAGUGGCGAGCGAAAGCGGAUUGAGGCUAAACCGGCUGCGUGUGAUACCUGUCAGGGGUUGCGUGGUCGGGGUUGUGGGACCCCGCUGAACAAGCUGACACUUGUUCGAGGAGUUACAAAGUCAGUGGCUAGUCGAACAGUCUGGAAUGGCUGACCGUAGACGGUGAAAGUCCGGUAGGUGAAAGUUGCUGACCUUCUGUGGGUGUUCCCGAGUAGCGGCGGACCCCUGAAAUCUGCCGUGAAUCUGCCAGGACCACCUGGUAAGCCUAAAUACUUCCUGGUGACCGAUAGCGGAC